rnacentral:rRNA from 1 species
ACGGGAGGCAGCAGUGGGGAAUAUUGGACAAUGGGGGAAACCCUGAUCCAGCGACGCCGCGUGAGUGAAGAAGUAUUUCGGUAUGUAAAGCUCUAUCAGCAAGGAAGAAAAUGACGGUACUUGACUAAGAAGCUCCGGCUAAAUACGUGCCAGCAGCCGCGGUAAUACGUAUGGAGCAAGCGUUAUCCGGAUUUACUGGGUGUAAAGGGAGCGUAGACGGUUUGGCAAGUCUGAAGUGAAAGCCCGCAGCUCAACUGCGGGAUUGCUUUGGAAACUGUCAAACUAGAGUGCAGGAGAGGUAAGUGGAAUUCCUAGUGUAGCGGUGAAAUGCGUAGAUAUUAGGAGGAACACCAGUGGCGAAGGCGGCUUACUGGACUGUAACUGACGUUGAGGCUCGAAAGCGUGGGGAGCAAACAGGAUUAGAUACCCUGGUA